GGCGGGGGGCCUUACACAUGCAAGUCGAGCGAGACCUUCGGGUCUAGCGGCGGACGGGUGAGUAACGCGUGGGAACGUACCCUUUUCUGCAGGAUAGCCACUGGAAACGGUGAGUAAUACUGCAUACGCCCUUCGGGGGAAAGAUUUAUCGGAGAAGGAUCGGCCCGCGUUAGAUUAGGUAGUUGGUGGGGUAAUGGCCUACCAAGCCUACGAUCUAUAGCUGGUUUGAGAGGAUGAUCAGCCACACUGGGACUGAGACACGGCCCAGACUCCUACGGGAGGCAGCAGUGGGGAAUCUUAGACAAUGGGGGCAACCCUGAUCUAGCCAUGCCGCGUGAGUGAUGAAGGCCUUAGGGUCGUAAAGCUCUUUCGCUGGGGAAGAUAAUGACGGUACCCAGUAAAGAAACCCCGGCUAACUCCGUGCCAUCAGCCGCGGUAAU
rnacentral:rRNA from 1 species